AUCUAUAGCUCCACAAUGUCCGCCUUCACCUCCUCAGUCUACUUGAAGAUGUUACUAACCUCAAGCCUGUUCUAUCGGAGGAGUCUGUGUCUAGCUAGUUUCAAUCUCUGAGACACCCAGUACCGUACAUCCUCAUGAAUCAGUAUUCUCCAUACCUCCCUAAUCAAAUCCCAUGAUUUCAGAUAGAAAAUUCAGAACUUCUUAAAUCUGAACGGGCCCCUAGAUAUAUGC
rnacentral:lncRNA from 1 species